rnacentral:misc_RNA from 1 species
GAAAUGCGAUAUGUAAUGUGAAUUGCAGAAUUCCGUGAAUCAUCAAAUCUUUGAACGCACAUUGCACCUACUUUCGGGUAGGUAUGCCUGUUUGAGAAUCUAUAGUAAUUCUUUAGUCGAAUUUAUUUGACUGAGAUUUGGGGAUUCCGCUUUGGCGGUGCCCUUAAAUAUAUUACCUGGGUGACUAAAAGUCUGCCUCAGUGAUAAAGAUUGAAUAAGCUUUGGCUUUUCUGCUUUAGCACGGUUGCAGUUUGCUUUGAAAUCAGCUGGAUUCAACCAUAAAGCACUCGGAGUUAAAUCCAAGUGUUUGAACAAUGGUCUCAAAUCAGGUAGGAAGACCCGCUGAACUUAA